AGAGUUUGAUCAUGGCUCAGAUUGAACGCUGGCGGCAGGCCUAACACAUGCAAGUCGAACGGUAACAGGAAGCAGCUUGCUGCUUUGCUGACGAGUGGCGGACGGGUGAGUAAUGUCUGGGAAACUGCCUGAUGGAGGGGGAUAACUACUGGAAACGGUGGCUAAUACCGCAUAACGUCGCAAGACCAAAGAGGGGGACCUUCGGGCCUCUUGCCAUCAGAUGUGCCCAGAUGGGAUUAGCUGGUUGGUGAGGUAACGGCUCACCAAGGCGACGAUCCCUAGCUGGUCUGAGAGGAUGACCAGCCACACUGGAACUGAGACACGGUCCAGACUCCUACGGGAGGCAGCAGUGGGGAAUAUUGCACAAUGGGCGCAAGCCUGAUGCAGCCAUGCCGCGUGUAUGAAGAAGGCCUUCGGGUUGUAAAGUACUUUCAGCGGGGAGGAAGGUGUUGUGGUUAAUAACCGCAGCAAUUGACGUUACCCGCAGAAGAAGCACCGGCUAACUCCGUGCCAGCAGCCGCGGUAAUACGGAGGGUGCAAGCGUUAAUCGGAAUUACUGGGCGUAAAGCGCACGCAGGCGGUCUGUCAAGUCGGAUGUGAAAUCCCCGGGCUCAACCUGGGAACUGCAUUCGAAACUGGCAGGCUUGAGUCUUGUAGAGGGGGGUAGAAUUCCAGGUGUAGCGGUGAAAUGCGUAGAGAUCUGGAGGAAUACCGGUGGCGAAGGCGGCCCCCUGGACAAAGACUGACGCUCAGGUGCGAAAGCGUGGGGAGCAAACAGGAUUAGAUACCCUGGUAGUCCACGCCGUAAACGAUGUCUACUUGGAGGUUGUGCCCUUGAGGCGUGGCUUCCGGAGCUAACGCGUUAAGUAGACCGCCUGGGGAGUACGGCCGCAAGGUUAAAACUCAAAUGAAUUGACGGGGGCCCGCACAAGCGGUGGAGCAUGUGGUUUAAUUCGAUGCAACGCGAAGAACCUUACCUGGUCUUGACAUCCACGGAAGUUUUCAGAGAUGAGAAUGUGCCUUCGGGAACCGUGAGACAGGUGCUGCAUGGCUGUCGUCAGCUCGUGUUGUGAAAUGUUGGGUUAAGUCCCGCAACGAGCGCAACCCUUAUCCUUUGUUGCCAGCGGUCCGGCCGGGAACUCAAAGGAGACUGCCAGUGAUAAACUGGAGGAAGGUGGGGAUGACGUCAAGUCAUCAUGGCCCUUACGACCAGGGCUACACACGUGCUACAAUGGCGCAUACAAAGAGAAGCGACCUCGCGAGAGCAAGCGGACCUCAUAAAGUGCGUCGUAGUCCGGAUUGGAGUCUGCAACUCGACUCCAUGAAGUCGGAAUCGCUAGUAAUCGUGGAUCAGAAUGCCACGGUGAAUACGUUCCCGGGCCUUGUACACACCGCCCCGUCACACCAUGGGAGUGGGUUGCAAAAGAAGUAGGUAGCUUAACCUUCGGGAGGGCGCUUACCACUUUGUGAUUCAUGACUGGGGGUGAAGUCGUAACAAGGUAACCGUAGGGGAACCUGCGGUUGGAUCACCU
rnacentral:rRNA from 1 species